rnacentral:lncRNA from 1 species
GUAGUUGAAACCACUGGCCACUCGUUUCAGCAUUAUAUUCGUCGGAAUGAUGGAUUUCCUUUUGGAGCGGCGUGCUGAAAUGUUUACGGAAGAAACGUUGUUUUUAGGAGAAAUGAAUAGAAAUAACCAAUUUUGAGGAAGCCAUGGCAAAAUCAAAUACCAAACACAGAGUUUGUUCUCGGCAAUCUUCAGUAUCUUCUCUGUUAAGCUGCAACCUGAAUGGCAGUAAUUCCUCUAACUCUGGCUCUUUUCAAUAUAAGGAUAAACUGUACAGUUCUGCAUCUCAGGCUCUACAGGCCUAUAUUGAUGAUUUUGAUCUAAGCCAAAUGUGUCUUGGGGCAAGCACUGGAAAGAUUAACAUUGAUAAAUGUCCUGCUAAUAUGCCGGAAUUCUCCAACUACAUUUGUAAACCAAACAAUGCUUUUGAAAAUCUUGAUGACAAAAGACAUUUAUCCUUAUCCUAUAGAGGACAGACUCUUAAUGACAUAGACUCCGUUAGUCUAACAACUGAUGAUCUAUUAAAGCUUCCAGCAGAUGGAUCAUUUUCUUUCACUUAUUUUGAAUCAGGUCACGGAAGUAGCAAGAAAAACAGGAAACACAUUGGAAGACUGAGUUUAUCUGACAGAGAAAAGAAUCAGAAUUUUCGAGAACCAACUGCUCUGCAGGGAAAGGAUAACUUAGUUACCCCACUUGUAUACACAAAUAUAAAAGGAAGGCAUUGUGGCAGGCUAAAAAACCCAAAACUCAUGAAUAAGGCUAGUAAAAGCAUUUCUGUACCAUCUUUAUCUUUUUCCAAAAAAUUAUCUUUUAGGGACAGUUCAGAACACAAUCUUGAAAAGAAUUACCCAAGAUGGCUCACUAGCCAGAAGUCUGACCUUAAUAUUUCAGGGAUAACUAGUAUACCGGACUUCAAGUACCCAGUCUGGCUCUACAAUCAAGACUUGUUACCUGAUACAGAUAGUCAAAGAAUACAUCAAAUGUGUAAAGAAGAUCAGUGUUCUCCUAGGCAUAGUUACCAGGCACAAAGAACUUCUCGGCUAAUGAAUAAAUUAGAUUGUUUUGAAUAUUCUUUUGAACCUUCAAACAUUGCACAUUCCUUGAGUGAGGAUAAAGGAUUACUGAAUGAAUAUAAAUGUGGUCCUGAACCUAGCCAAUGUCUGUGUGAGAAUCCGCUUCUUCCAGGAUCCAAAAAGCCAUUCAGUGGUGACAAAAUUGAAUUGCUUAUCCUGAAGGCCAAGAGAAAUCUGGAGCAUUGUACUGAAGAGUUACCAAAGUCUAUGAAAAAGGAUGACAGUCCUUGUUCAUUAGAUAAACUUGAAGCGGAAAGAUCAUGGGAAAAUAUUCCUGUUACUUUCAAAUCUCCUGUUCCUGUUAACACUGAUGAUAGUCCUCAAGAAAUUCCAAAGACAAAGUAUGCUAAUGAAUUCCUUGAAGAUUUUUUAAAUGAUGAUAAUCAGAGCUGUACCCUUUCUGGAGGGAAGCAUCAUGGACCUGUUGAAGCCCUGAAGCAAAUGUUAUUUAAUCUUCAGGCAGUGCAAGAAAGUUUCAAUCAGACUAGAACUGCAGAGCCAAAAGGAGAAAUUAAACAAAUCUCAGAAGAUGAUCUUUCUAAAUUACAGUUGAAGGAAAGUAUGGCUCCUAUUACUAGGUCACUUCAAAAGGCUUUGCACCAUUUAUCUCGCCUGAGAGACCUGGUUGAUGAUACCAGUGGGAAACAGUCACCGAAAAUAUGA